CAGCACCUCAAGUGGUCAGGAUGAUUAUUGGGCCUAAAGCAUCCGUAGCCGGCGCUGUAAGUUUUCGGUUAAAUCUGUACGCUCAACGUACAGGCUGCCGGGAAUACUGCAGCGCUAGGGAGUGGGAGAGGUAGACGGUACUCGGUAGGAAGGGGUAAAAUCCUUUGGUCUAUUGAUGACCACCUGUGGCGAAGGCGGUCUACCAGAACACGUCCGACGGUGAGGGAUGAAAGCUGGGGGAGCAAACCGGAUUAGAGACCCGAGUAGUCC
rnacentral:rRNA from 1 species